rnacentral:rRNA from 1 species
CCUACGGGAGGCAGCAGUGGGGAAUAUUGGACAAUGGGGGAAACCCUGAUCCAGCGACGCCGCGUGAGUGAAGAAGGAUUUCGGGACGUAAAGCUCUAUCAGCAGGAAAGAAAAUGACGGUACCUGACUAAGAAGCCCCGGCUAACUACGGGCCAGCAGCCGCGGGAAUACGUAGGGGGCAAGCGUUAUCCGGAUUUACUGGGUGAAAAGGGAGCGUAGACGGCAGCGCAAGUCUGGAGUGAAAUGCCGGGGCCCAACCCGGGAACUGCUCUGGAAACUGUGAAGCUGGAGUGCAGGAGAGGGAAGCGGAAUUCCUGGUGUAGCGGUGAAAUGCGUAGAUAUCAGGAGGAACACCGGCGGCGAAGGCGGCUCACUGGACUGUAACUGACGUUGAGGUUCGAAGGCGUGGGGAGCAAACAGGAUUAGAUACCCUUGUAGUC